GAGAAGGAGAAGAAGAAGAAGAAGGAGAAGAAGCUCUUGUCAGUUACGAGGAUGCUUAUGACUCAAAUGAUGAAAAGAAUUCCAAGAUUGAUUAUGCAGAUUCCGAAGACCUGUGGGAAUCAGAGGAUGAUCGAGAGAACGAUUAUGGGUUAGUUGAAUUUUGAGGUGAUUCACAAGACGAUCAAGGCAGACGUUGGCCCUGAAGCAGAGGCAACUGGUCGCUUAUAUGCAAGCAAUUAAAUUUGUAAUUGUAAUUGUAUUGAGCUGAAAAACCCACUUAGGGAGCAUCAAUAAAGUUUGUAUGUGUGUAUGUAUCUAUGUUAUGGAAAAAUAUUCUGUUUUGCUAUUACAUUACAUGUUUAGAAGCUAACCGUACUGUUCACUUAAGUAAAUUGAAUGAUUAAUUGAUUGA
rnacentral:lncRNA from 1 species